rnacentral:misc_RNA from 1 species
GUACCACACUUCCACACAAAGGGAAAAACGGAAAGGGAAGGACCAUAAUGCCGUUGCGUGCAAGAUUGCGAAUCGCUCGCUGUCUCCACCAACUCCAGGGCUGCGCCAAAAGACGAAACCCAUUAAUUGCCAAGAAACUCCAUGCUCUAAUCAUCAAAGCUGGUCUAAACGAAAGCGAAUACUUAUACAACACUCUUGUGGAUGUUUAUGGCAAAUGCGGCCUCUUUCAAGAUGCCUAUUACCUGUUCGAGGAAAUGCCCCACAGAGACCAUGUCUCUUGGGCCUCCAUUCUCAAUGCAUACAACCAUGCCAACCUCCCUAACAGAACUCUCUCCAUUUUCCCUACUAUGUUCGCGCUUGAUAGGUUGCAACCUGACCAUUUCGUGUAUGCUUCUCUCGUUAAGGCAUGCGCCAGCUUGGGUGCUAUAAGGCAAGGGAAGCAAAUACAUGCGCACUUUAUUUUAUCGCCAUUCUGUGAUGAUGACGUUGUUAAGUCUUCUUUAGUUGAUAUGUAUGCAAAAUGUGGGAACAUUAUGAAGGCUCUUC